rnacentral:lncRNA from 1 species
CUGGAUUCUAACGCCUGCACUGGGUUUCUCCCUGGGGCCUGGCCUUUCCUUCCCAGAGCCCAGUUUCCCCUCCGUCUGAUGGACACUGGACCUGCCCGCCCGCCUCUCGGGGUUUGCUGUCAGAGUUCGAAGAGACGCUGGAUGUGACCAGUAUGUAAGGCUUUCAGAUGGUGUCAUGUACGCACAGUUCUGCAGCUGGCUUUUUCCACCUGACGAUUCUUUCACUCCUUGUCCACCUGCUCAUUCAAGGGUCAGGUAAAAAGCCACCUACUUGGGCCAAGAGCCUCCCAAAGCACCCCUCCUGGAUGCCCACAACUUCCUGCCUUGCUGCUGAGUUAUCAGUGGGUGCAGGAGUAGGCAGAGGGCCAGAGAGUACGGACCUCAAUGUCAUCACCCAAGAGGCCGACCAUCCGGGCGUGGGACAGCUCAGCAUGGCACCCACAAGGCUGGCUCCUCCUGCCUGCUGAGCUCACGCCUGCUCUGCACAUCCCUUCUGCUGGCCAAGCCUCCCUGUGGCCCUGCUUUACUGAAACCCAGGGAAGGGUGACUUCUAAGCCAAACCCCUCUUCUGCCCAGGCCGUAAUUUCCUAAUUAGGCACCACAGUCACCACCCCAUCGCACGCACUGAUUGCUUC